GUCCUUGUCGAUUAGUGGUUAAAUCAUCACGUUGUGGAAGCGUUAACUGGCGGGUUGCGUGAUCACCGUGAAGCCGGAAGUUCGAAUCCUCCCUGGGACA